GAAUAUUGGACAAUGGGCGCAAGCCUGAUCCAGCCAUCCCGCGUGCAGGAAGAAGGCCCUAUGGGUUGUAAACUGCUUUUGUCAGGGAAGAAACCUCCCGAUUCACUCGGGAGCUGACGGUACCUGAAGGAUAAGCACCGGCUAACUCCGUGCAAGCAGCCGCGGUAAUACGGAGGGUGCAAGCGUUAUCCGGAAUCACUGGGUUUAAAGGGUGCGUAGGUGGCAUUGUAAGUCAGGAGUGAAAGUUUGCGGCUUAACCGUAAAAUUGCUUUUGAUACUGCAGUGCUUGAAUCAGGUUGAGGUUGGCGGAAUGUGGCAUGUAGCGGUGAAAUGCUUAGAUAUGCCAUAGAACACCGAUUGCGAAGGCAGCUGACUGGACCUGUAUUGACGCUGAGGCACGAAAGCGUGGGGAGCGAACAGG
rnacentral:rRNA from 1 species